GGUUGAUAUGAUGCCCGUGUUAUCCAACUGUGUUGAAAAUGUCACGUGUCAAAGUGCUUUCUGAUCCAGUAUUUACAAUGCACGACAACUCAGAAACAGUGCUGAGCCAUGGAAGUUAGAUCCUGCCGAACAAAGUCCUCCGGAUAGCUUACUUAUUGCAAACGCUGCUCAGAUCAGAGGCCUUCAUCCUCAGUGUUUCAAACACAAGCUUUUCAUUUAUUUUCUCUGUCAUGUCCACAUGCCGUCUGAAGCUGCAUAAGAGAAAGGUAUUUUCAGAGCGAACACUCAGCUGUAUGAGCAAACAGCAGGGGAGAGAACUUCUGAGGAACCUUAAUGAGGGGAUUUCAGUGGAUUCUGUGCUGCAGUGAAACCCAAAAAUUAAUUCGGACAAGCGGCGAGAAGCAGUGGAUGUAAGCAAAUCUCCUGGAGCAAUAAGAUCUGCCUGAUGGGGCUCCUUCAGAACCAGAACCAGUCUCUGGUCUUUUCUCAACCAGAGGUCAUCCACUUGGAGUCCACAGCACAACAAUCAGCUGUAAACAACAUUGUCAUCGUGCUGUGUGUGUUGAUCUUCAUCCUCCAGCUGUGUUUAGCUCUGUUCUUCAUGCUGAGAUGUUUUAGAUAUGACAACAGAAUACGAGAGGCUCUCAAACAGCCGACCGCUGUUAAAAAAAUCCUUGGCAUUUAUAAAGAGUCCAGGGAUCACCUUUAUGAUGCUGCUGGUUCUUCAUCACCUGCUGUGUCAGCAGUGGAGGAAAGUUAUGAACAGCCCACAGGUUCCUUAAGUGCACCGCACAUAUACUGGGACCUUGUUCAGUAGUCACGUGUCUAACAGUUCAACCAGGCUUUUAAACAGUGUUAAUGAAACUGUAAAUGUCUGUUUAAUCUUUUAAAUAUAUAAAAUUUGGAAAUGUUUUGUUUUUAGAGUAUUAAUACUAAUUGAAAAAGAAAUACAAACAACUGAUGUUACUGUGUAAUGUGAAAAUCUUUGAUAAUAUAUAAAAUAGCUGAAAUAGCUCUGUGUUGAAAUGUUUUAGUGUCUUCAGCUAUUGGCUGCUGCUUCAUUCAUUUUCAGUCCAUUCCUUGUACGUGAUGAUUUUUAGGGUUUUUUUUUUUUGUUUCUGUUGUUGUUUUUAAGUUAAUUUUUUAUCAUGUAAACAAUAUACAGAGAGUUAUUUAGGAAAAAAAAAAUUAAAGCAGAAAUCUAUCCACCUAUUUUGAUCUGCUUUACAUAUCAAGCAGGAGUGGGAACAAACAAGUGCACGUUUAUUUAAUCCUGAGGCUGAAUGGAACAAAAGACAGCCAACCUGAAUAUAGCCUAAUUUUCAUGUUCCCUGCAAAAUACAAAUAUUUUGGGGAUAGCUCAAGACUUUUGCACAGUAAUCUCUAUCUUUUAGAAAACAUCAGAAGAGGUUAUCAGACAGUGCAGCAGCACAGCACUGUGCGAACCUCAUUGUUAUGUGUUUCCCUGCUGCAUUUUUCCAAAGUUCAAUGUCAACUUACCCCACACAGCCAUGAACACAGCAAAGAAAACAGUGGCCCCGUUGUCGAAUAGAUGGGUGACCUUAAAAUGAAGACAAGAUCACACAUUUUUAUGUCAAAAAGCAAAUUUAGGAAAAAUCUACACACCUGAUUCAAUGAGAUGCAUAAAUGUCAAAGAUUUUAGUGCCAGUUUAUGUGCAGUUAGUAUGUUCCUAAGAAUACUUUUGGAUGAUAAAAAUGUCAUUUUCAUCACAGUGUUUCCCAGUAGGAUGAGAUGAUUGAAGGGUGAGAAACUGAGGACACUGCAUUCAUUCAUGAACUGCUAGCUUGUGAAUCAAAACAUAGGGCUACCCCAAAGCAUACCCUCAUUAAUCUCUUUUUGAUGAUACUUCAAAUAUACAAAUAUUUCAAUCCUACUGGACUCAUUUAGUGAUAGACAGCUUCUUAACACAUAUUUAUUUAACUAACACUGAGAUCGGCUACUAUCACAAGUAUCAGCUGCUGGGAACAUUUCGUCCCCCUUUUCAUGUACCUUGGCGUAGAUGCAGCUGUCUGACAGUCUCAGGUAGGGGCAGUACUGGUCACAGAUGGGGCACAUGAUGAUGUCGUUGGCCUGGCAGAUUUCUUUGCUGGACGACGACAAACAAACGACCAAAGCAUUCAAGUAGGACAAGAAUUAUAACAUCCAGCAAGAGACAAA